rnacentral:ribozyme from 1 species
GCUGCUCUUUGGCAAAGAUUCCAAAACACAGGUUGAGAAUGACAUGUUGAAUUCUUUAUUAGAUUCUUAUACAUCUUAUGUAUCAACAGGAAGGCCGAAAAAUGAUAUUGCUUU